rnacentral:sRNA from 1 species
CAAAUUUUAAAAAUGAAAAAACCAAAUAAACAUAAAUGUGCUUAAGUUUAAAUCAAAUUUACAAUUUAGUUGAGAUUACGCAACUUAACGACGAUAACAUUUUACUAACUACGUAUAAACUAUAGGAUUUCUAGCGAAAAUAUAUACAUACAUAUAUAUACAUAUAUAUAUUUACACACCUGUAUAUAUUUGUAUUAUGUAUACAGUUAUGUACGAUUAGCGAAUGGCCCAGAAGGGGGGCGUGGCCAGGAGAGGGGCGGUACUACCACUAGUCAGCGACAAAUACUAAUUACUAAUUAAUUAUUACCAAUUAUGAAACCCAAAUCGAAUUGAAUGGAAACGAAACCCAAGCCGAUGCAAUAGUAAUUAGCAGCACAAGGAUUGGACGCAGAUUUGGACAAAUUGCCAUGUAACAUUUAACAUUUAACAUUUAACAACUAAUACCGACUGACAAAUAUUGACCAAGGCCGCCCUCCCACCCCCUUCUCCGCCUACCCCCGCCACCCACUGCGCUCUAGUUUUCAAUGCCGAAGCUGCAUAAAAA